rnacentral:rRNA from 1 species
CGAAGUAAGUUUAAAGACGGGAUAGUCGAUCUACCGUGCCAUAACCGCAUGGUACCGUCAUUGCCCAUUGCCCCUUAAUCCCAAGCUAAGGCCUCUCCCUCGGACUCUUUGCCGAUGGUGUAGGUUCCUUCCGUCGUCCGCGCGUUUAAUGGGUUAGGGU